AUUGUCAAUCCUGUUUGCAGUUAUUGGUGCAGGGGGAGCUGCGUUUUGCCUGUAAUGUCAAUUGUGGGUAUGCUGAGAGGGCCAGUCUGCAGAUAUGAUCCAGAUCAACAUGGCAACACUGAUUUAAAUGUAACUAAAUGGGACCUGACCCUUUUGACAAUGAACUGAGAUAUUACAAUAAUGAAAGUUAUAUAUUCAAUAAGGACCUCUGGGAUGUGUGUAUCGAGCCCGCUGGAGUUGUGGAAUUUAACAUCAUUCUAUUCUCCAUUCUCCUGGCGGCAAGUGGCAUUGAACUCAUCCUAUGUGCCAUUCAGAUAGUAAACGGUAUUAUCGGUACACUCUGCGGAACAUGUCAGAAAAAAGAAAAAGGAACUGAAAAAAAUGACAAAGAAAAAAUUCUAUACUCCUAGACCGAUGCAUCCACAAUCCAUCAUCAAUAUGAAGAAGUACAUCAGAAUUUCCAUAGGCCUGAUGAUUUGGUGGAAUUAGCUAGACCAUCUCCUCCUUUUGAGCACAAGAUAACUCAAUGACUGCUUUAAAAAAAGGAGUUUGGAAUUUGGUUACAAUAAAUCCAUUGACAAAUGAA